GAUUUCAGCAGCUCCACCGUCUCCGAGAUCGGCAUGGCGGUGGAGAGUGCGAAACCAGAUAUCCUCGCCAACUGGGAGUCCAGCUUCACCGCCCUGAAAACCUCCUGGAUCACCUGCAACAUCCGCCGGUCCGGCCUGCCGGAGUCGUCGUAGCAGUCGAGAGCUAUCACGAACAGCCUUCUCCGGCGCCGGAGAAGAGGGGACCUGCUGAGGGCGGUGGAGGACAUGUCCCCUCUCUUGGAGCCGUCCGCCGGCUGGGAAGAAUCGGCGGCGGGGCCCCUCCUGAUCUUGUUGAGUAUCCUCCUCACCUGGCUCUGUAGCUCGGGGUCGUCCUCUUCCUCUGCAACCU
rnacentral:lncRNA from 1 species